CCUCCGUGCUCAGGCUGAGGUCACCGCUCCCCGCCAGGGACUGACUCCGCCCUUGUCCCGGAUACACGGAGAGCAGAACCACAAGAAGCGAAGGUCCCAAGAUCCACUGACUGACUGCCUUGGGACAAACUAAUAAAUGGCAGAGCCAGGCCUCAAGCCCA